AACGCACGAGACCUGCGGACCUGCGGAGGGAUCAUUACCGAGUUUACAACUCCCAAACCCCUGUGAACAUACCACUCGUUGCCUCGGCGGAUCACCGCGCCCCGUGAAACGGGCCGGCCCGCCAGAGGACCUAAACUCAAAUGUUUUAUUGUAUCUUCUGAGUAAAAACACAAAUAAAUCAAAACUUUCAGCAAUGGAUCUCU
rnacentral:misc_RNA from 1 species